CAUUAUAGAGUUUUCUAAACUCCCAACCCUAUGUGAACUUACCAUUGUUGCCUCGGCAGGACCUACCCGGUACCGACCCCUCACGGGCGAGGUUACCCUGUAGCCUGCCGGUGGACUACUUAACUCUUGUUAUUUUUAAUGAUAUCUGAGCGUCUUAUUUUAAUAAGUCAAAACUUUCAACAACGGAUCUCUUGGUUCUGGCAUCGAUGAAGAACGCAGCGAAAUGCGAUAAGUAAUGUGAAUUGCAGAAUUCAGUGAAUCAUCGAAUCUUUGAACGCACAUUGCGCCCAUUAGUAUUCUAGUGGGCAUGCCUGUUCGAGCGUCAUUUCAACCCUUAAGCCUAGCUUAGUGUUGGGAGUCUACGGUUUCGUAGUUCCCCAAAUUGAACGGCGGAUCCGCAGUAUCCUCUGAGCGUAGUAAAUCUUUAUCUCGCUUUUGUCAGGUGCUGUGGCUCUUGCCGCUAAACCCCCAAUUUUUCAAUGGUUGACCUCGGAUCAGGUAGGAAUACCCGCUGAACUUAAGCAUAUCAAUAAGCGGAGGAAAAGAAACCAACAGGGAUUGCCUUAGUAACGGCGAGUGAAGCGGCAACAGCUCAAAUUUGAAAUCUGGCCCUCGGGUCCGAAUUGUAAUUUGUAGAGGAUGCUUUUGGUGCGGUACCUUCCGAGUUCCCUGGAACGGGACGCCUUAGAGGGUGAGAGCCCCGUACGGUUGGAUACCAAGCCUUUGUAUAGCUCCUUCGACGAGUCGAGUAGUUUGGGAAUGCUGCUCUAAAUGGGAGGUAAAUUUCUUCUAAAGCUAAAUAUUGGCCAGAGACCGAUAGCGCACAAGUAGAGUGAUCGAAAGAUGAAAAGCACUUUGAAAAGAGGGUUAAAUAGCACGUGAAAUUGUUGAAAGGGAAGCGUUUAUGACCAGACUUUUU
rnacentral:rRNA from 1 species